UCGUAACAAGGUUUCCGUAGGUGAACCUGCGGAAGGAUCAUUAAUUAUGUUAAAGCGCCUUACCUUAGGGUUUCCUCUGGGGUAAGUGAUUGCUUCUACACUGUGAAAAUUUGGCUGAGAGACUCAGACUGGUCAUGGGUAGACCUAUCUGGGGUUUGAUCGAUGCCACUCCUGGUUUCAGGAGCACCCUUCAUAAUAAACCUAGAAAUUCAGUAUUAUAAAGUUUAAUAAAAAACAACUUUUAACAAUGGAUCUCUUGGUUCUCGCAUCGAUGAAGAACGUAGCAAAGUGCGAUAACUAGUGUGAAUUGCAUAUUCAGUGAAUCAUCGAGUCUUUGAACGCAGCUUGCACUCUAUGGUUUUUCUAUAGAGUACGCCUGCUUCAGUAUCAUCACAAACCCACACAUAACAUUUGUUUAUGUGGUGAUGGGUCGCAUCGCUGUUUUAUUACAGUGAGCACCUAAAAUGUGUGUGAUUUUCUGUCUGGCUUGCUAGGCAGGAAUAUUACGCUGGUCUCAGGAUCUUUUUUUUUGGUUCGCCCAGGAAGUAAAGUACAAGAGUAUAAUCCAGUAACUUUCAAACUAUGAUCUGAAGUCAG
rnacentral:misc_RNA from 1 species